rnacentral:ncRNA from 1 species
ACAAGGAUGGAAGAGGCCCUUGGCCUGACAACAUGCAUACGGUUAAGGCAUUGCCACCUACUUCGUGGCAUCUAACCACUGUUUUUU